CAAAAAGAGUGUGUUUAUUCUAUUUUGGUUACAGAGCAUUUUGGCAAAAACUUAAUUUUGGAAUAAUUUCCUUGACAUUUGACUUACCAGCACAAAGGAGAAUGAAGGAGAAAGAGGAAUUUCCAUCUGGAAUCUUUCCAUUUGGUGCUACCACUUAUUCUGUGACAAUCAGCAGCUAUUCAAAACCUUCCUCAGAUAUAAGCAGUGAAUGAUAUUUGCAUGUUAAUACAUAUUUUAUUUUAUUUCAUUUUGUUUAUUACAAACAGAGUGGUUUGUUUACAUGCAAGUUUGAGGUAACAGUUCACAGUGAUUUUAAGAAGUGUUGUUUGAUAAAUAAUCUAAACCUCUUCCUAAUCUGCAUGAGACCUAGGCUUUAGGAAAUGAAAAGAACUUGAGGAGGUCACCUAUUCUGAAGAAGAUCUUUGCAGGCUCAGGGCAAAAGUGUUCCUGGAAUUCCUUCUCAGCAGAAGAUAAUGUUUCAGGGAAUCAUCACUGGGGAAAAGCCAUGCAUGCUGGGAGAAAAAGUGGACAAGAGAGUAUUCUGCGGUAUUUUUACUGGCCUGACUGAAGCUGAAGAGGUAUUAGAGGUAACCUCAUGAGAAAGUUUGACCUUGCAAGAUUUCCGACUGAUUUCCAGAGCCAAAAGAUUCAGAUACAUUUGGAUAGACUUUGAACAAACAUCCAAACUUCUGCAUGCUUGUCUGAACUGAAGAUCCAAAUGUUUUGAUACACCCUCCUUCCUCUCCUUGAUGAAUGCACAUGUAUAUUGUGUGCGUAUUUACAUGUGUUAUUUGCGAAACUUGGGAAAAUACGUGUACAUUUAGGCUCUUGUCAGAGAGGUUUCUGGGCUGAAGUGCUAAUUCAUUACUGGAAAUAAAAGUUGAUAUAAAACAUAAGUGCUAAGUACUCCAGAAAGUACAUUAUGAAAAAUAGUUGAGCUAUAUGCAGUCUUCAGUCUCAUUAGGAAGUGAGAAAGAGAUGGCAUGGAAAAAAUUAACUUGUCAACAUAGCCAUAUAUAAUUUUCAAAGAGCACAAUGUGAACACAAGAUGUUGCACUGACCAUUCAAAUAAAUCAGAAAGCUGUGAA